GGGGGCCCUGGAUAUUAUAAGGGUCUAGCCUGCCCAAUGAUUAAAAAUUGAAUGGCCGCGGUAUUUUAACUGUGCUAAGGUAGCAUAAUCAUUUGUCUUUUAAUUAAAGGCUGGAAUGAAUGGUUGGACGAAGUAAUAACUUUCUUUAAAUUAAUUGAUUGAAUUUAAUUUUUUAGUCAAAAAGCUAAAAUGUGUUUGAGGGACGAGAAGACCCUAUAGAUCUUUAUAAUUGAUUAUAUUGUAUAUUUUGGUGAAUUAAUUAUUAUUAAUAUAAUUAAUUAUUUGGUUGGGGCGACUGUAGAAUUUAUUUAACUUCUAUUAUUAUCUUUCAAUAAUUUUUGUAUAAUUGAUCCAUUUAUUAUGAUUAUAGGAUUAAGUUACCUUAGGGAUAACAGCGUAAUUUCUUUGGAGAGCUCCUAUCGAUAAAGAAGUUUGCGACCUCGAUGUUGGAUUAAAAUAAGUAGUGGGUGCAGUAGUUCAUUUACUAGGUCUGUUCGACCUUUAAUUUUUUACGUGAUCUGAGUUCAGACCGG
rnacentral:rRNA from 1 species